CGCCGCGGGGGCGCAAGGUGGCGCCUAAAACACGCCGUCACACGUAAUCCGGCCAGCUGCAAACAAAGGAGUGGAGGGAACGUCAUUCAGGAACGGAGUUGUCUCUUCACAGGGGAGUGCUGGCCGCCAUCAUCGAAGCGCUGCGACCUUUGCCCACCCUGCGCCUCACACAAUCCCCAUUCGCCCACUCUCUCGAUCCCCCUUCGUAGCAGCGGCUACUCACGACUCGCUGACGCCGACAACGGCCCGCGUGCCCUUCACUCCUUGCCUCGGACUGCCACGGAGAGCGCUCGCCUCGCCCCGGGAUGGCCGCAGCACACAUAGCGCACCGACGUGGCUCCCUCACCUCAGCCACUCACAUCCCACGGCAUACGCCUGCAACUGCGCGCUACGAAGCCCCUCUUCUGAGCAACUGGCGAGCCGUUGGCGGGGUCUCCACGUACUGUGUCGAGGUGCGUGGAUCGGUAGCUGGCUGCUGGGGGUUGGGUGCUGCCGUGCGCGCCGCGGCCGCUCUUUUUGACCGGCACAGCCCCUCAUCUCCUUUUGCGGGUGUCUUUGCGCGCUGUGGUGCAGCGUGAGUUGGAGUGUUUGCUUGUUGUUUUGGUGGCGCCCCCUCCCUGCGCACUUGUUGAGCUGGUAGCAGGCGGCGGUCCUACCAGGGUUGCUCUAUGGCUUCACGUGAAGGCGGUGCGCGUUUUGGACUGUGAGUUAGAAGGUGCGGAGAUGUGCGGCUGAUGAUCCUGUGCCGCGCAGCGUCUUGCAGGCUGUGGUAGCCCCCCUCCCCCCUCCCGUGCUCUGCGGCAUGGUAAUGUGUUGCCUGAGCGUGCAGUGGGGGGCUGCCGCUGUGUGGCACGCGUCGGCGCUUUUGCGAGCAGGCGCCGUUUACGGGGUUGUCUGGGCCUGGGCUGCAAGGUGAAGCGGCGCCGUUUUUUCUUCUGUUCUUUCCCAGCAGGAGCCGCCCCCGCUGCACGUGGAGCGGCCUUGGCAUCUCUGUAUCGAGCUGCUCGCUCAUGGUGGCGUUGCCGGCAUUGUGGAAGCGGACGAAAAGACCGUGUGAGGGGGAUCGGAUGAUGGGCUGCCUCAGCGCUGCAUCGAGGUAACGCCGGGCAUGCCUGUUGGCUGUGGGUGCGCACGACUUCUCCUCAGCGGCGCUGCCGUUGUGUCUCCACUGCGCUGCGAUGAGGAUCCCUUGGGUCGAUGAGAAGGCAAGGAGUGCUGCUGGAUACGCGCGAAGAUGGGGAGAGGUGGUGGUUGCCUUACGACUCAGCGCCGGCAAGAGUACGCCUGCACUCUUGUGCGCGGAUCCUUGUGCUUCGAGUUGGGAAGGGCGAGGUGGUAGUCGCCCAGCCCACCACCACCGCCGUCACCGGCUUUCUCGGUGUUGCGUCUUCUCAUUGCCAAAGGACGCACCCGGCCUGUGCUUCACGCGUUACAGAAGUGACACUGUGCUGCGCGGCGGAUGUCGGAGCAGCGGUCUCUCUCUGCACAGCACUGCGUCCCUGCUCCACCCCUCGAGCUGGAGGCCAUCAAGGCACAAGAAGGCGCGGUCAGAUGAGUGAGGCACUGAGACUCAGCGAUGGCGUUGUGGCUCACACGCACGGAGUCGUCUGUCAUCCGGUGCAACGCAUGCACUCCCGGACACGGAGCAAGCAGGGGACGUGACGGCGCAGCGGUGUGUUCUCUCCGUGACCUCUCAUGUUCCCCUCUGUGUUCUACUCGCUGCGGGACCUCGCCGCCCCCGUUGCGUGCGCCCCUGAGCUCCUGCUGCGCGCGGGAGCAAAGAUGUGCGCUGCUCGGCUUUCCCAUCUCGCCUCGGCGGCCUCUCGCAGCUCCACUGCAGCUCUUCCUUUCUCGCCACCGUCGCCCUCUACAUCACCACCUCAUCCACCCUCUGCCCUCCGCGUCUCUCCUGCUAUUGCGCGCCACCAG
rnacentral:misc_RNA from 1 species